rnacentral:rRNA from 1 species
AUUGAACGCUGGCGGAAUGCUUAACACAUGCAAGUCGAACGGCAGCAUGGCAUAAUUUCGGUUAUGUUGAUGGCGAGUGGCGAACGGGUGAGUAACGCGUAGGAAUAUACCUUGAAGAUUGGGAUAACUUGGGGAAACUCAAGCUAAUACCGGAUAAUGUCUGAGGACGAAAGCUGGGGACCUUCGGGCCUGGCGCUUUAAGAUUAGCCUGCGUCCGAUUAGCUAGUUGGUGGGGUAAAGGCCUACCAAGGCGACGAUCGGUAGCUGGUCUGAGAGGAUGAUCAGCCACACUGUGACUGAGAAACGGCCCAGACUCCUACGGGAGGCAGCAGUGGGGAAUAUUGGACAAUUGGAGCAACCCUGAUCCAGCAAUGCCGCGUGUGUGAAGAAGGCCUUCGGGUUGUAAAGCACUUUAGUUGGGGAAGAAACAGCUUGGCCACACCAAGCCUUGACGGUACCCAAAGAAUAAGCACCGGCUAACUCUGUGCCAGCAGCCGCGGUAA